rnacentral:rRNA from 1 species
AUUGAACGCUGGCGGCAGGCCUAACACAUGCAAGUCGAGCGGAUGAAGGGAGCUUGCUCCUGGAUUCAGCGGCGGACGGGUGAGUAAUGCCUAGGAAUCUGCCUGGUAGUGGGGGAUAACGUCCGGAAACGGGCGCUAAUACCGCAUACGUCCUGAGGGAGAAAGUGGGGGAUCUUCGGACCUCACGCUAUCAGAUGAGCCUAGGUCGGAUUAGCUAGUUGGUGGGGUAAAGGCCUACCAAGGCGACGAUCCGUAACUGGUCUGAGAGGAUGAUCAGUCACACUGGAACUGGGUCACGGUCCAGACUCCUACGGGAGGCAGCAGUGGGGAAUAUUGGACGAUGGGCGAAAGCCUGAUCCAGCCAUGCCGCGUGUGUGAAGAAGGUCUUCGGAUUGUAAAGCUCUUUAAGUUGGGAGGAAGGGCAGUAAGUUAAUACCUUGCUGUUUUGACGUUACCAACAGAAUAAGCACCGGCUAACUUCGUG